UGGGGAAUUUUGGACAAUGGGCGAAAGCCUGAUCCAGCAAUGCCGCGUGUGUGAAGAAGGCCUUCGGGUUGUAAAGCACUUUUGUCCGGAAAGAAAUCCUUGGCUCUAAUACAGUCGGGGGAUGACGGUACCGGAAGAAUAAGCACCGGCUAACUACGUGCCAGCAGCCGCGGUAAUACGUAGGGUGCAAGCGUUAAUCGGAAUUACUGGGCGUAAAGCGUGCGCAGGCGGUUUGCUAAGACCGAUGUGAAAUCCCCGGGCUCAACCUGGGAACUGCAUUGGUGACUGGCAGGCUAGAGUAUGGCAGAGGGGGGUAGAAUUCCACGUGUAGCAGUGAAAUGCGUAGAGAUGUGGAGGAAUACCGAUGGCGAAGGCAGCCCCCUGGGCCAAUACUGACGCUCAUGCACGAAAGCGUGGGGAGCAAACAGGAUUAGAUACCCUGGUAGUCCACGCCCUAAACGAUGUCAACUAGUUGUUGGGGACUUCAUUUCCUUAGUAACGUAGCUAACGCGUGAAGUUGACCGCCUGGGGAGUACGGUCGC
rnacentral:rRNA from 1 species